CACGUCAUCACCUCAUCAUGAAAAUAUAUUCAUACACAAUACAUACCCAGAGUGUGAAGUGCAAAUAUGAUUCUCUACUACACCAUUUGUAGCAGACAGUAUACAGUAGGAAGUACAUACUGAUGUAUUACGCAGUAGUUUAGUAUGCAGUUUGGAUCUCAGCCUCCUGCAGUUAAUGAGUGAUGCUAAGAAGGUGAAUCAGCUCUUUAGUGAAGUACUUCAGACUCUUGGUCACCAGUCAGUAGAUGUUGUUUCUGGACAUUAUGUGUAGUUUCAGGUCAUUAGUUUCAGGUCACUAUGUGUAGUUUCAGGUCAUUAGUUUCAGGUCACUAUGUGUAGUUUCAGGUCAUUAGUUUCAGGUCACUAUGUGUAGUUUCAGGUCAUUAGUUUCAGGUCACUAUGUGUAGUUUCAGGUCAUUAGUUUCUGGACAUUAUGUGUAGUUUCAGGUCAUUAGUUUCAGGUCACUAUGUGUAGUUUCAGGUCAUUAGUUUCAGGUCACUAUGUGUAGUUUCAGGUCAUUAGUUUCAGGUCACUAUGUGUAGUUUCAGGUCAUUAGUUUCAGGUCACUAUGUGUAGUUUCAGGUCAUUAGUUUCAGGUCACUAUGUGUAGUUUCAGGUCAUUAGUUUCAGGUCACUAUGUGUAGUUUCAGGUCAUUAGUUUCUGGACAUUAUGUGUAGUUUCAGGUCAUUAGUUUCAGGUCAUUAUGUGUAGUUUCAGGUCAUUAGUUUCAGGUCACUAUGUGUAGUUUCAGGUCAUUAGUUUCAGGUCACUAUGUGUAGUUUCAGGUCAUUAGUUUCAGGUCACUAUGUGUAGUUUCAGGUCAUUAGUUUCAGGUCACUAUGUGUAGUUUCAGGUCAUUAGUUUCAGGUCACUAUGUGUAGUUUCAGGUCAUUAGUUUCAGGUCACUAUGUGUAGUUUCAGGUCAUUAGUUUCAGGUCACUAUGUGUAGUUUCAGGUCAUUAGUUUCAGGUCACUAUGUGUAGUUUCAGGUCAUUAGUUUCAGGUCAUUAGUUUCAGGUCACUAUGUGUAGUUUCAGGUCAUUAGU